AUUGUAUUGCAGGUUUAGUUUUAAUACCAACCAAUUGCCAUUCAAUAAGCCAUAAUGAUAAAUGUUAUAACAAGUUGUGGCAAAUGUAUUGAUAAUUAAAAACUGUAAUUUCUCAUUGAGAAAGGUAUUAUGACUAGCUUCGUGUGGCACUCCAAAUUUUGGUCACGAGCAUCCUCUUUGCUUUAAAGGACCAUGCUGAUUUUCAACAUUAUCUCAAUCACUCCAAAUUUGGGAUAUAUUAUGGACAACAACAACAGUUUUUUAAUGUUCUAUGAGUCUCUGGGACUUAAAAAUCUAUGGUUCUUCUGGAAACCAGUGACAUCAUUGGUUGUCCGAAGAACCAACGGCUGGGAAUGUAGGAUGCGUUCUCUAGAUGCUGCUCAAAAUCCACCAAUUGCUAUAUUUUCAACUGUCAUUUUUUUAAUAUGAGUGCGGAGGAUGUUAAGGACAGGGAUAUGUUUUACCAUGUGUUGGCUGAGGGUCGGUCGGGGUAUUUACUUGAGUAUACAGCAAAAGAAAUGCAGCACGCAGAGCAAGAGUCAAUCCGGUGGAGAGAGGUCGAGGCUACAGCUGCAUUGGAUACGGCAAAAGGAUACGGCCGGAGGGGACCAUCCAGAAACUGAGCUGCCGAGAGCAAACAGUGACUGUUGGUGCCUUUGAUCAUACUGCUCUCCGAUGCCAACAGAGACAGAAUCAUUGUGCAGCCGUGGAUUUCAGCAUGGGCUGUUUUUGGUUGAACUCCGUUGCUGAUGCCAACCCCCCGAGGGAGCCUGUGUGUGCCUUCCUCAAAGAUCCCAAAGAUAAAUUGGAAAAGACAACCAGGACCAGCAGGACCAAGAGGCCAGAUGACCAUUGAUGACCUGUUGGAUGCGGUUGAUGCGUCGCUCGUCCGUCUCUGCGAUGAACAGUGUUCCCAGGUGGGACAGGGCGAUGGCUUUGGCAGCCUCCAGAGUGGCUCGCACUGCUGCCCGGCUCACCAGGUGGUGGUCAAUACCUGGCACCUGGCAGUGGAUGGGACGUCCAGCCACGAUGCGCACUUGAAGACUUUCUGACACCUAAAGGAAAAGACCGCCAUGUAUUAGCUAUGCAGAACACUUAUAUCAGCUGUUCCUUUUAAUUAAUGUUGGUCAAAAAAAACAACAGACAAUGACAAUAAAGUUUUGAUGAUCCAGUGCAUCAAACUGUAAGAGCCCUAA